rnacentral:rRNA from 1 species
UAGAGUUUGAUCCUGGCUCAGGAUGAACGCUAGCGACAGGCCUAACACAUGCAAGUCGAGGGGCAUCGGGGCUAGGAGCAAUCCUUGCCGCCGGCGACCGGCGCACGGGUGAGUAACGCGUAUGCGACCUGCCCGUUGCAGGGGGAUAAUCGGGAGAAAUCCCGUCUAAUACCGCGUAAUGCCGCGGGGCUGCAUGGCCCUGCGGCCAAAGGGAGCGAUUCCGGCAACGGAUGGGCAUGCGUGACAUUAGCUAGUUGGCGGGGCAACGGCCCACCAAGGCGACGAUGUCUAGGGGUUCUGAGAGGAAGGUCCCCCACACUGGUACUGAGACACGGACCAGACUCCUACGGGAGGCAGCAGUGAGGAAUAUUGGUCAAUGGGCGCGAGCCUGAACCAGCCAAGUCGCGUGAGGGAUGACGGCCCUACGGGUUGUAAACCUCUUUUGUCGGGGAGCAAAUUCCGUUACGUGUAACGGAGUCGAGAGUACCCGAAGAAAAAGCAUCGGCUAACUCCGUGCCAGCAGCCGCGGUAAUACGGAGGAUGCGAGCGUUAUCCGGAUUUAUUGGGUUUAAAGGGUGCGCAGGCGGAAGAUCAAGUCAGCGGUAAAAUUGAGAGGCUCAACCUCUUCGAGCCGUUGAAACUGGUUUUCUUGAGUGAGCGAGAAGUAUGCGGAAUGCGUGGUGUAGCGGUGAAAUGCAUAGAUAUCACGCAGAACUCCGAUUGCGAAGGCAGCAUACCGGCGCUCAACUGACGCUCAUGCACGAAAGUGUGGGUAUCGAACAGGAUUAGAUACCCUGGUAGUCCACACAGUAAACGAUGAAUACUAAUUGUUCGGGGAGAAUGAUCCUUGAGUGAUACAGCGAAAGCGUUAAGUAUUCCACCUGGGGAGUACGCCGGCAACGGUGAAACUCAAAGGAAUUGACGGGGGCCCGCACAAGCGGAGGAACAUGUGGUUUAAUUCGAUGAUACGCGAGGAACCUUACCCGGGCUCAAACGACACAGGAAUACUUUUGAAAGGAAGUAGCUCUACGGAGCCUGUGUCGAGGUGCUGCAUGGUUGUCGUCAGCUCGUGCCGUGAGGUGUCGGCUUAAGUGCCAUAACGAGCGCAACCCCCAUCGCCAGUUACCAGCAAGUCAAGUUGGGGACUCUGGCGAGACUGCCGGCGCAAGCUGUGAGGAAGGCGGGGAUGACGUCAAAUCAGCACGGCCCUUACGUCCGGGGCGACACACGUGUUACAAUGGCAGGUACAGAGAGAAGCAAUGCGGCGACGCAAAGCGGAACUUGAAAGCCUGUCUCAGUUCGGAUUGGAGUCUGCAACUCGACUCCAUGAAGCUGGAUUCGCUAGUAAUCGCGCAUCAGCCAUGGCGCGGUGAAUACGUUCCCGGGCCUUGUACACACCGCCCGUCAAGCCAUGGAAGCCGGGAGUGCCUGAAGUGUGCAACCGCAAGGAGCGCCCUAAGGUAAAACUGGUGACUGGGGCUAAGUCGUAACAAGGUAGCCGUA